rnacentral:rRNA from 1 species
GAGGUGGCCGCCUGGGACGCCCUCCUCCAGGACAUUGCUCUUCUACCGAUGGAGGUGGCGGAGGACUGGGACGCUCUGUCCUGGCGCCUCGAGCCUUCCGGACGUUUCUCCACGAAGUCCCUAUACGGUGCCAUUACUCCCUCGUCGGCCCCGGAACCAUUUAGCCCGAUCUGGGAUAUCCGUCUCCCGCUGAAGAUCCGGAUCUUCCUAUGGCAAUGGAUCCGUGGCCGGCUCCCCUCGGGUGUUGAGGUCCUCAAGCGAAAUGGCCCGGGUGAUGGAAUGUGCCCCAUCUGUGGCACCGUUGAGGAUGCUAACCACAUCUUUUUCUCGUGCCACCCUGCCCAGUUCCUUUGGGCCCGUUUCCGCGAAACGGUUGGUGGACAGUGGUGUAAUACCAACUUCCCCGACCUGCUUGCUGAGCUUAACGCCUGCCCUGCCCGCUUCCGCCAUAUUAGAUGGCUGUGCGUAGGGGUUCUUGCCUGGACGCUUUGGAACAUCCGUAAUAAGCUUGUUAUUCAGAAGGUGCCCCUUCGUCGUGCGACUGACGCAAUCUUUAAACUGUGUGGUUACCUGCAGCUUUGGCGGCCGCUUAGCCGCCCUCAGGACCGGGACGCCAUCACCGCCCUCCUAUCCGAUCUCCGCUCGAUGGCGCUCCGCUUGGCUCCCCCGCUGCCGCCUCCUCCCCCUGAGCCUGAUUAG